rnacentral:lncRNA from 1 species
CCAUCGAGCGUGCCAGAGAGGACCCGGGCUGGGCUUCGGGGCCGGGGGCAGCACCCGGAGGGACCCUGUGGCAAGGGCAUUGGAACGACUGCUCCAUCGAGGCGGGAGAGUUCGAGCGGGCAGCCCAGGUCCUGGCUCGUCAUUACGGGGGGACGAGCACCCCACGCAGCCCGGAGAAGGGUGAGGGUGCCCGGCAAGGCCGGACACAAGCCGCGUGGGAGAGCCCCAGCAGCAGCCUGUGGCGGUCGCAAGUGACAGCGGCGAGACGGUCCCCAGAGACCCCCUGGAACCAAGGAGAUGAAGAUGAAGAGGAGGAGGACGAUGAAGUCAAGGUGUGAAGGGCCAUCCCUCCCAGCACUGCUCCCCCCUCCAAGGACCUUGGUGCUGUGGUCUUCGCCCUCCUCCCCGUGCCCCACCGCCAGGUGGAGGUCAGGCCUUACAGGAGAUCUCCUGGCCUCUGGCUGGGGGCAGUGGGGUGCAGGGGGGGGCAGGAGGAGACCCCAAAUGCCGCCGAGCCCCCCCCAAGGGUUGGCAGGGUGCUGCAGGGACAGGUGAGGGCUGUGCAGCACGGUGCCCCAUGUUGCAGCCCUUCCCCGUCCUCGUUAGGUGCCAAAGGGACAUCCCCACGUGCCAAAGAACCCCCCCGAGCCCCUUUCCACCCCAUCCCGCAUCCCCCCCAGCAAGCAAAUGAUGUGCUCAGGAAAGGGAAUGGCGACAGACAGGGAGCAGAACAAGGGACAGCCCGCGGACACUGAUCCCUUUGCAGCAGGGAGAGGGAGAAACUUCGUGCCCUGCUGGAGGUGAGGCCAUCCAGGCACCAAAUUCUGAAAAAAACCCUUCCCUUCACCCCCCUGGAACAAGGAGACUCCCUCUCUGCAGCCAUUCUUCCCCAUCCUCGCCCCCUCUCCCUGUCCCCAGCGUGCUCACCCCCCCUUCCCAGAGCUCCCAAUGCCAGGGGCACGCGUGGAGGAUGCUCGAUGCCCCUCGCCGAGCAUCCCCGGGUGACCACGGCCACCCUGGGACGAGUGGCCCCCACGCUGCCCCACGUGCAAACCAGCACGCACAGAAGCUCCUUUGUGCUGCCGCGUGGAGCCGAGAUGCUCGGGGGCUGAGGUCACCGCGGGGACCCUCACAGCACCCUCCUUGUUCUCCGGGACGGGCGGGGGUGUGCAUAGUGGGGGGAGAUGACGCCACGUCACGCUCCCACAAGGCAGUGCCAACACGUCCCCAGCUCUGGCCACCAGCACGCGGCAGGGCCACGCAGGAUCAGCCCGUGCCGCCGCUGUGCCGGGGGGGCUGGCUCUCAGGGCGAGCUCCCCCUGCCCUCUGCUUCCCAAAGCGUAACACGAGCUCCAGACCAAAGCCCCAGGUCCGUGGACCAGCCUCUCUGCCUCCACUCUGUACCCCGUGCACUUAUUAUUGUCCUUAUUAAAGCAGUUUUGAUACUAACUUCUCCGGUGCCUCCCUCCCUCCCUCCUUCUCGUCCUCCCUCACCACGUCUGCCGCUCCGGGCCCAGCCACAAAACGCGCUGC